rnacentral:misc_RNA from 1 species
CCAAAAGCAACUCCAGCUCCAGGUAUUUUACUUCCCUUGUAAUUUGUAUAUGUUUUUCUUUUUGAUGCCUGAUGUACUUAUUUGUGGCAUUUAUUUCUUAUCUGAUUUUGGUUGAGAGAAUUAUUGAAUCCCUUUUUGUUAUUACGGUUGAAUUUGGACAAAAUCUAAUUGAGUUGUCCAUUGUCCAGCUUCAAAUUCUGCUCCAAUAUCCAUAGAA